rnacentral:rRNA from 1 species
AUUGAACGCUGGCGGCAGGCUUAACACAUGCAAGUCGAGCGGGGGAAGGUAGCUUGCUACCGGACCUAGCGGCGGACGGGUGAGUAAUGCUUAGGAAUCUGCCUAUUAGUGGGGGACAACAUCUCGAAAGGGAUGUUAAUACCGCAUACGUCCUACGGGAGAAAGCAGGGGAUCACUUGUGACCUUGCGCUAAUAGAUGAGCCUAAGUCGGAUUAGCUAGUUGGUGGGGUAAAGGCCUACCAAGGCGACGAUCUGUAGCGGGUCUGAGAGGAUGAUCCGCCACACUGGGACUGAGACACGGCCCAGACUCCUACGGGAGGCAGCAGUGGGGAAUAUUGGACAAUGGGGAACCCUGAUCCAGCCAUGCCGCGUGUGUGAAGAAGGCCUUAUGGUUGUAAAGCACUUUAAGCGAGGAGGAGGCCACUUUAGUUAAUACCUAGAGAUAGUGGACGUUACUCGCAGAAUAAGCACCGGCUAACUCUGUGCCAGCCGCCGCGGUAA